GGAAGAUGUAGAAGAGACUCCAAGGGGCUGUGCAGCUGUGGAAAGGCAGUGGGUUCCUUCCACUCUGUCCGUCUCUCCCGCGCACUGGAUCCCAGCGUGGGUGGUCGCUGCGUGGAGUGGAGUGCUCAGUUGUUUAGGAAUAAUAGGAUUAUAAUACCUGGAGAGAGCUAACUAAUCUGCUGGAGCGUCAGGAGAAUGCCGUCAUGCAGUGCUGAUUGGAUGUCAUCGCAAGAACAUGCGCAUUAGUAGACACUACCGUAACGGCAAAGAAAACUGACAGGGAAAAUAUACAAUCCUGGAAUCAGGGAAGAAAAAGGAGGCUGUUUAUUUUGUCAUUCUUCAUCAGUAAGUGUGACAGACCUGACUGAGGAGGGCAAGAUUUUUUCAUCAAAAACAGCUGUCAGCUGAGAUGAAACAUACCCACAGGGAAUCCUGAUGGAGUUCUGGGAGUUGCUCUUGACUUUUUGUUACAUUUUCUUCAACUUCUGAUAAAGGAUGAUGCAAUAAAGAGCGAUUUAUAGAAAGAAAAGAGCACCUUGCAACUUGACUGCUGCAAAUUGUGGAGAGCUCUACUGACAUCUGCGCAGAAUUCUGACAGCGAUUAUAACAGCCAGCACUCCUGGGAAGAGCUCUAAGCCCUUUGCUCC